UUUAUUGAGAGUUUGAUCCUGGCUCAGGACGAACGCUGGCGGCGUGCUUAACACAUGCAAGUCGAGCGAUGAAGUUUCUUCGGAAACGGAUUAGCGGCGGACGGGUGAGUAACACGUGGGUAACCUGCCUCAUAGAGGGGAAUAGCCUUUCGAAAGGAAGAUUAAUACCGCAUAAGAUUGUAGCUUCGCAUGAAGCAGCAAUUAAAGGAGUAAUCCGCUAUGAGAUGGACCCGCGUCGCAUUAGCUAGUUGGUGAGGUAACGGCUCA
rnacentral:rRNA from 1 species